AAGAAAAAAGUUUACAAAAACAAACACCCCAGGGAGAUCGACGUGGUCCAAGCCCAUUUUCAGAACAAGAGAAAAGUAUUAAGGAGAAUUCACUAUUCUUCUAUAUGGGAAGGACUGAUAGCUGCUAGAACUGUCGUUUAUGGCAGACACAAAGCGCUCUUAAACACUUGGAUGAAAAGGAAAUUCCUUGAAUGUUAAUUGUGACUGUAAACAUGUUAAAACUAGCCAAAGAGGACGCACUGGUGUUGGUCCCAGCCUUGCUUAACAUCUUUGAU